rnacentral:tRNA from 1 species
UUGCCAAGGUUGGGGUCGCGAGUUCGAGCCUCGUUUCCCGCUCCAAAACUAACGGCGUGUUAGCAAAGCGGUUAUG